CAAUAGCGUAUAUUAAAGUUGUUGCAGUUAAAAAGCUCGUAGUUGGAUUUCUGGGAGGGUGCCGAUGUCCGCUUAACGUGUGUGCAGCGGCGCCCUCUCAUCCUUCUGUUAGCGUCUCUUGGCAUUCAUUUGCUGGUGGCGGGCUCAGAUAUUUUACCUUGAGAAAAUUAGAGUGUUUAAAGCAGGCUAUUGCCUUGAAUACAUUAGCAUGGAAUAAUAAUCUAGGACUUCGGUUCUAUUUUGUUGGUUUCUAGUACUGAAGUAAUGAUUGAUAGGGAGUAGUUGGGGGUGGCUAGUAUUGACCGGCCAGAGGUGAAAUUACUUGGAUUCGGUCAAGACUAACUUAUGCGAAAGCAUUCACCAAGGAUGUCUUCUUUAAUCAAGAACGAAAGUUGGGGGAUCGAAGACGAUCAGAUACCGU
rnacentral:rRNA from 1 species